rnacentral:piRNA from 1 species
UACUCCUCUUCUAGGUGCAAAACCAAG